rnacentral:rRNA from 1 species
UAGGCAGGUACANCGGGAAGCACCUGCGACAGGGCGCGGACCCGAAAAACCCUGUCUCAGUUCGGAUUGGAGUCUGCAACCCGACUCCAUGAAGCUGGAUUCGCUAGUAAUCGCGCAUCAGCCACGGCGCGGUGAAUACGUUCCCGGGCCUUGUACACACCGCCCCGUCAAGCCAUGGAAGCCGGGAGUGCCUGAAGUGCGUGACCGCAAGGAGCGUCCUAAGGCAAUACCGGUGACUGGGGCUAAGUCGUAACAAGGUAAC